UUUAAUGUGUAAAUAUAUUAUGAUUUGAUCAUUACAGAAAUCAGGCGGUGUCACCUAUAAAUCAGCUGCUUACUACAUUACGAUUCUUUGCAAGCGGGGGCCAUUUGAGUACAGUAGCGGACUAUAUGGGAAUGCACAUCUCAACUGUGUCGAGAAUAAUUAGACGUGUAUCGGACGCUAUAGCAAGACUUUACCAGCGUUUUAUUAAGAUGCCCCAAACUCUCAUGGAGCAAAGGCUUAUUCAAAAUGGUUUUUUUGACAUCGCGAGAUUCCCUAGAGUGAUUGGGGCCAUUGAUUGCACUCAUCAAAAUUGAAUCACCAGGUGGAGAAAAUGCUGAAGUUUUUCGCAAUCGGAAAGAUUAUUUUUCAAUUAACGUUCAAGCCAUGUGUAAUGCGAAUAUGGAGUUUACAAACGUAGUUGCUCGGUGGCCUGGUUCUACUCAUGAUAUGACCAUUUUCAAUAACUCGAUUUUACGAGCAAAUUUUGAGAAUGGAGAUUAUCCAAAUUGUAUAAUAUUGGGUGAUGGUGGCUAUGGUGUAAGACACUAUUUUUUUACACCAUUAUUAAAUCCACACACUCAAGAAGAGCAGUUGUAUAAUGAAGCUCAUAUUCGUACAAGAAAUGUCAUCGAAAGAACUUUUGGUGUCUGCAAACGAAGAUUUCCUGUGCUAGCAUGUGGAUGUCGAUUAAAAAAAGAAACUGUUUUGAGUAUUGUAAUUGCGUGUGCAGUCCUGCAUAAUAUAGCUCGACAAAUGGGUGAAGAUGAACCUCCUCUCCCAGCUGACAUUAACCAGCAUGAACUGCAGCGACUUAUUGAAGAUGGUCAAAUAUCAGAGGUCAAUGUUAUUGACAACCAAAGGAGGGGUAGUGAAAUUAGAAGAAAUUUUAUAACAAAUUUUUUUGGAAAUUUAUAAAUUUAACAAAUAAAUGUUUUAUUAAUAUUUUA